GAUAAGAAGAGGACUCAAACCUCUGUUUUCGGGGCUACAACCCGCCGCCUAAACCCUCGGCCACCUACCUGUGA
rnacentral:tRNA from 1 species